rnacentral:rRNA from 1 species
CGGAGGAAAAGAAACCAACAGGGAUUGCCCCAGUAACGGCGAGUGAAGCGGCAACAGCUCAAAUUUGAAAUCUGGCCCCAGGCCCGAGUUGUAAUUUGCAGAGGAUGCUUUUGGCGCGGUGCCUUCCGAGUUCCCUGGAACGGGACGCCAUAGAGGGUGAGAGCCCCGUACGGUUGGACACCAAGCCUUUGUAAAGCUCCUUCGACGAGUCGAGUAGUUUGGGAAUGCUGCUCUAAAUGGGAGGUACAUUUCUUCUAAAGCUAAAUAUUGGCCAGAGACCGAUAGCGCACAAGUAGAGUGAUCGAAAGAUGAAAAGCACUUUGAAAAGAGGGUUAAACAGCACGUGAAAUUGUUAAAAGGGAAGCGCUUGUGACCAGACUUGCGUCCGGUGAAUCACCCAGCUCUCGCGGCUGGGGCACUUCGCCGGCACAGGCCAGCAUCAGCUUGCCGUCGGGGACAAAAGCUUCAGGAACGUAGCUCCUCUCGGGGAGUGUUAUAGCCUGUUGUAUAAUACCCUUCGGC